rnacentral:rRNA from 1 species
AUUGACCUCAGAUCAGACAAGAUUACCGGCGAUUAGCAUAUUACUAAGCCAGGA